GACGAACGCUGGCGGCGUGCUUAACACAUGCAAGUCGAACGGAAAGGCCCUGCUUUUGUGGGGUGCUCGAGUGGCGAACGGGUGAGUAACACGUGAGUAACCUGCCCUUGACUUUGGGAUAACUUCAGGAAACUGGGGCUAAUACCGGAUAGGAGCUCCUGCUGCAUGGUGGGGGUUGGAAAGUUUCGGCGGUUGGGGAUGGACUCGCGGCUUAUCAGCUUGUUGGCGGGGUAGUGGCUUACCAAGGCUUUGACGGGUAGCCGGCCUGAGAGGGUGACCGGCCACAUUGGGACUGAGAUACGGCCCAGACUCCUACGGGAGGCAGCAGUGGGGAAUAUUGCACAAUGGGCGGAAGCCUGAUGCAGAAACGCCGCGUGCGGGAUGACGGCCUUCGGGUUGUAAACCGCUUUCGCCUGUGACGAAGCGUGAGUGACGGUAAUGGGUAAAGAAGCACCGGCUAACUACGUG
rnacentral:rRNA from 1 species